rnacentral:rRNA from 1 species
AGGGGGACCUUCGGGCCUCUUGCCAUCGGAUGUGCCCAGAUGGGAUUAGCUUGUUGGUGGGGUAACGGCUCACCAAGGCGACGAUCCCUAGCUGGUCUGAGAGGAUGACCAGCCACACUGGAACUGAGACACGGUCCAGACUCCUACGGGAGGCAGCAGUGGGGAAUAUUGCACAAUGGGCGCAAGCCUGAUGCAGCCAUGCCGCGUGUAUGAAGAAGGCCUUCGGGUUGUAAAGUACUUUCAGCGGGGAGGAAGGGAGUAAAGUUAAUACCUUUGCUCAUUGACGUUACCCGCAGAAGAAGCACCGGCUAACUCCGUGCCAGCAGCCGCGGUAAUACGGAGGGUGCAAGCGUUAAUCGGAAUUACUGGGCGUAAAGCGCACGCAGGCGGUUUGUUAAGUCAGAUGUGAAAUCCCCGGGCUCAACCUGGGAACUGCAUCUGAUACUGGCAAGCUUGAGUCUCGUAGAGGGGGGUAGAAUUCCAGGUGUAGCGGUGAAAUGCGUAGAGAUCUGGAGGAAUACCGGUGGCGAAGGCGGCCCCCUGGACGAAGACUGACGCUCAGGUGCGAAAGCGUGGGGAGCAAACAGGAUUAGAUACCCUGGUAGUCCACGCCGUAAACGAUGUCGACUUGGAGGUUGUGCCCUUGAGGCGUGGCUUCCGGAGCUAACGCGUUAAGUCGACCGCCUGGGGAGUACGGCCGCAAGGUUAAAACUCAAAUGAAUUGACGGGGGCCCGCACAAGCGGUGGAGCAUGUGGUUUAAUUCGAUGCAACGCGAAGAACCUUACCUGGUCUUGACAUCCACGGAAGUUUUCAGAGAUGAGAAUGUGCCUUCGGGAACCGUGAGACAGGUGCUGCAUGGCUGUCGUCAGCUCGUGUUGUGAAAUGUUGGGUUAAGUCCCGCAACGAGCGCAACCCUUAUCCUUUGUUGCCAGCGGUCCGGCCGGGAACUCAAAGGAGACUGCCAGUGAUAAACUGGAGGAAGGUGGGGACGACGUCAAGUCAUCAUGGCCCUUACGACCAGGGCUACACACGUGCUACAAUGGCGCAUACAAAGAGAAGCGACCUCGCGAGAGCAAGCGGACCUCAUAAAGUGCGUCGUAGUCCGGAUUGGAGUCUGCAACUCGACUCCAUGAAGUCGGAAUCGCUAGUAAUCGUGGAUCAGAAUGCCACGGUGAAUACGUUCCCGGGCCUUGUACACACCGCCCGUCACACCAUGGGAGUGGGUUGCAAAAGAAGUAGGUAGCUUAACCUUCGGGAGGGCGCUUACCACUUUGUGAUUCAUGACUGGGGUGAAGUCGUAACAAGGUAACCGUAGGGGAACCUGCGGUUGGAUCACCUCCUUA